CGUUGGGAGCUCUCCCAUAUGGUCGACCUGCAGGCGGCCGCGAAUUCACUAGUGAUUCGUAUUACCGCGGCUGCUGGCACGGAGUUAGCCGGAGCUUAUUCUCCCGGUACUGUCAUUAUCAUCCCGGGUAAAAGAGCUUUACAACCCUAAGGCCUUCAUCACUCACGCGGCAUUGCUGGAUCAGGCUUUCGCCCAUUGUCCAAUAUUCCCCACUGCUGCCUCCCGUAGGAGUCUGGGCCGUGUCUCAGUCCCAGUGUGGCUGAUCAUCCUCUCAGACCAGCUAAGGAUCGUCGCCUUGGUGCGCCUUUACCACACCAACUAGCUAACCCUACGCGGGCUCAUCCCUAGGCGAUAAAUCUUUGGACUUACGUCAUUAUCCGGUAUUAGCAGCAAUUUCUCGCUGUUAUUCCGAACCAAGGGGCAGAUUCCCACGCGUUACGCACCCGUGCGCCACUAGACCCGAAGGUCUCGUUCGACUUGCAUGUGUUAGGCAUGCCGCCAGCGUUCAUUCUGAGCCAUGAUCAAACUCUAAUCGAAUUCCCGCGGCCGCCAUGGCGGCCGGGAGCAUGCGACGUCG
rnacentral:rRNA from 1 species